rnacentral:rRNA from 1 species
CGCGUAGGCGGCGCUGGCAGUCGGUUGUGAAAGCCCGGGGCUCAACCCCGGAACGGCAACCGAUACUCCAGCGCUGGAGGCCGGAAGAGGAGGGUGGAAUACCCAGUGUAGAGGUGAAAUUCGUAGAUAUUGGGUGGAACACCGGUGGCGAAAGCGGCUCUCUGGUCCGGACCUGACGCUGAGGCGCGAAAGCGUGGGGAGCAAACA